AACAAGAUAUUUUUAAACUUUAAUUGAUACAGUCUUUGUAUUGCUUACCAAUUUUAAUAUUUUUAAGAAACAUAUCUGAGGUUGUUUUACGUUUGUGUGGAGUGCCGUCACUAGGUAUAAAGUCAAGGUCUAUCAUUAUACCCCCACAAACGAAGACUAAGGGGUAUAAACGAGUUAGCUUGCGAUCGGUUGGUCUGUCCUUUUUUUGGUCCACGUCAUGGUUUCCGGACAUAAACUAGAGUUAGGAAUGAGAUAUUGUAAUCAAACCUGGUGUAUAGCAAGCUUAUAUGAAGACCGCGGUUGGGAUUGCAAUUAAUUGAAAUAAUUCUUUGUACACAGUUGAUACAUCAUUUACUAUAGGUUGAGUUUAAAUGUUUCUUCAGGCAACUUAUUUUUCAAAAAGUCAAAGUUGCUGGUGGGGGGUAUUAAAUUACUAAUCACCUUCAGUGAUAGGUCUAGUUUAUAUAUAUUUGAUUAUGUUUACAUUUGUUAUGUUUUUCAUCUUCAUCAAACAGCAAUGACAUGUCAAAUGAUAUUUUUCACAAUAAUAAAACAUCGUGAUUCUGUCAAGUUAUAUAACGGUGUUAACAAAUUCUAUCGAUAACAAAGAGAAUGGGUUAACCUUUCUUGAAAAAUUGUAACUGACAAGAAUCUUGGCCGUGGGUACUUGUGUUUACCAAGCACGUUGUAGGUAUGACUUUAUUUUAACGUUCAUGUUUUAAUUUCAGGUAACAAAACAAAGUCACGAGAUCAAAGAGACCAAAGGAUUCCUUUAGUUGAGACUGACAGUGGAGAAAAAAAACUUGAAACGAAACUACAAGGAACGUCUCUUACAGUUAGAGAUGUUGGUCGCAAAGUAAUGGAUAGAAAUGUUAGUUUUCUGAAAGAGAAUAUGGAACCUAACUUGCUAAAAGAUAAACUGCGAGAGAAACGUGUGUUUGAUGAAAUGGACUUAAAAGAUUUAGAGG